AAAAAACAAAAAACCUUACCCACAAGCCUCUAUCCCUUUUCCUCCAUUUGCUCAAUGUUCCUGCUACCUUUUCUCCAUGGGCAGUCAUUGCAGUGAUUCUGGGGAUCUUUAGCUUAUUGUUGAUGAUAACAUCUGGAUUCUUUGGUUACCAAUAUUUUCAAAAUAUCCAGCAAUCAGCUAGUAAGAUGGAUGACCUCACCAAAGAACUGGAGUCUUUGCUCAACACACUAGAAAACUUCACUGGAACAAUGAAGAAAAUACAAGAGGGUAACUUGGGGAUUGGAAUUUGAUCUCUCGUCAGAGCUUUAGAGUUCCCUCAGUAAUUCUCUGC
rnacentral:lncRNA from 1 species